ACCCCAGGUCAGGNGGGAUUACCCGCUGAGUUUAA
rnacentral:rRNA from 1 species